GGAGGAGUCCCAUAGAGGCCUAGUGGGCGCGCCUGGAAAGCGCGUGCGUCGGCAACGGCGCCGUGGGUUCGAAUCCCACCUCCUCCGCCA
rnacentral:tRNA from 1 species